rnacentral:other from 1 species
GGAAUUCUGCGCGGUGCGUGGUUCGCUUAAAACCCCGGGGCCAAUAAGAACUCCUGGGAGUUGUUCCUGGCCUUGACCCUGGUCUUGGCCACACGACGCCCACCUGCUUUGCAGGCCUUGGUGGUUCUACGAACCACGGCCCAUCGUGGAGCCGCC